rnacentral:rRNA from 1 species
GGGCUUUUUAAGCAGUGGACUCGUGCUCGUUCUAGGACCUUUGCAUACCAAACUUGUGUUGCUUUGGCCGGCCUCCGGGCCGGCCGGAGGUGUUCAACCCUUGAAUUAGUGAUGUCUGAGUAUUAUUGUAAUAGUUAAAACUUUCAACAACGGAUCUCUUGGUUCUGGCAUCGAUGAAGAACGCAGCGAAAUGCGAUAAGUAAUGUGAAUUGCAGAAUUCAGUGAAUCAUCGAAUCUUUGAACGCACAUUGCGCCCUCUGGUAUUCCGGGGGGCAUGCCUGUUCGAGCGUCAUUACAACCCUCAAGCCUGGCUUGGUGUUGGGCUCGCCCUGUCAGGGUCUGCCUCGAAAUCAGUGGCGGCCCCGUCCGAUCUCAAGCGUAGUAAUGCUAUCCGCUUGUUGGUCUGGAUGGAAGCUUGCCAGCAACCCCCAACCUCACAUUGUUGACCUCGGAUCAGGUAGGGAUACCCGCUGAACUUAAGCAUAUCAAUAAGCGGAGGC